rnacentral:rRNA from 1 species
UACGUAGGGGGCAAGCGUUGUCCGGAAUCAUUGGGCGUAAAGAGCGUGUAGGCGGCUUGGUAAGUCCGCUGUGAAAGUCCAGGGCUCAACCCUGGAAAGCCGGUGGAAACUGUCAAGCUUGAGUCCGGAAGAGGCGAGUGGAAUUCCUGGUGUAGCGGUGAAAUGCGCAGAUAUCAGGAGGAACACCAAUGGCGAAGGCAGCUCGCUGGGACGGUACUGACGCUGAGACGCGAAAGCGUGG